rnacentral:sRNA from 12 species
CCUUGGGAGUGUUAAGAAAAUACGAGUAGAGAUUUCAUCUCAAAAGUAAACACGUUGAAUAAGGAA